rnacentral:lncRNA from 1 species
GGGAGGCCGAGUCAGGAGAAUCGCGUGAACCCAUGAACCCAGGAGGCGGAGGUUGCAGUGAGCCGAGAUUGCGCCACUGCACUCCAGCCUGGGUGACAAAGCGAGACUUUGUCUCAAAACAAAACAAAACAAAACAGCUUUAUUGAGGUAUAACUGACAUAAACAGCAAAUAUUUAAAGGAUAUAAUUUGAUAAGGCUUGUUAAAUGAAUACAGCUGUGGAUUAAUAUAUUCUGCUGCUGUUGGGUCGACUAUUUGAUUAUUG